rnacentral:rRNA from 1 species
AGCAGCAGCCGCGGUAAUACGAAGGGGGCUAGCGUUGUUCGGAAUUACUGGGCGUAAAGCGCACGUAGGCGGAUAUUUAAGUCAGGGGUGAAAUCCCGCAGCUCAACUGCGGAACUGCCUUUGAUACUGGGUAUCUUGAGUAUGGAAGAGGUUAGUGGAAUUGCGAGUGUAGAGGUGAAAUUCGUAGAUAUUCGCAGGAACACCAGUGGCGAAGGCGGCUAACUGGUCCAUAACUGACGCUGAGGUGCGAAAGCGUGGGGAGCAAACAGGAUUAGAUACCCCUGUAGUCCCUGUCUCUUAUAC